UACGAAGGGGGCUAGCGUUGUUCGGAUUUACUGGGCGUAAAGCGCACGUAGGCGGAUCGUUAAGUCAGGGGUGAAAUCCCGGAGCUCAACUCCGGAACUGCCUUUGAUACUGGCGAUCUUGAGGCUGGAAGAGGUUAGUGGAAUUCCCAGUGUAGAGGUGAAAUUCGUAGAUAUUGGGAAGAACACCAGUGGCGAAGGCGGCUCACUGGCUCGAUACUGACGCUGAGGUGCGAAAGCGUGGGGAGCAAACAGG
rnacentral:rRNA from 1 species